CCUACGGGAGGCAGCAGUGAGGAAUAUUGGUCAAUGGGCGCGAGCCUGAACCAGCCAAGUAGCGUGAAGGAUGACUGCCCUACGGGUUGUAAACUGCUUUUAUAAAGGAAUAAAGUGAGGCACGUGUGCCGUUUUGUAUGUACUUUAUGAAUAAGGAUCGGCUAACUCCGUGCCAGCAGCCGCGGUAAUACGGAGGAUCCGAGCGUUAUCCGGAUUUAUUGGGUUUAAAGGGAGCGUAGAUGGGUUGUUAAGUCAGUUGUGAAAGUUUGCGGCUCAACCAUAAAAUUGCAGUGGAUACUGGCAGUCUUGAGUGCAGUGGAGGUAUGCGGAAUUCGUGGUGUAGCGGUGAAAUGCUUAGAUAUCACGAAGAACUCUGAUUGCGAAGGCAGCUUACUAAACUGCCACUGACAUUGAUGCUCGAAGGUGUGGGUAUCAAACAGGAUUAGAUACCCGUGUAGUC
rnacentral:rRNA from 1 species